rnacentral:rRNA from 1 species
UACGGAGGAUCCAAGCGUUAUCCGGAAUUAUUGGGCGUAAAGGGCGCGUAGGCGGCCAACUAAGUCAGACGUGAAAUCCCUCGGCUUAACCGGGGAACUGCGUCUGAUACUGGAUGGCUUGAGGUUGGGAGAGGGAUGCGGAAUUCCAGGUGUAGCGGUGAAAUGCGUAGAUAUCUGGAGGAACACCGGUGGCGAAGGCGGCAUCCUGGACCAAAUCUGACGCUGAGGAGCGAAAGCCAGGGGAGCAAACGGG